rnacentral:lncRNA from 1 species
GAGUCAUAUGGGUUGUAAAUGAUUGCACAUGUUUUGAUAUUGCCGAGAGUGCUAAGUACUCACUUUCUUCAUCAGCCCCUUCUUCCUUUUCUUAAACGUGGUUUUUCUUGCAAAGUCAUUAGUGAUAUAGGUAAGCCUAACCUUGUUUCUAGUCAUGAUGUUUUGUCGUGUUUGGCCAAGGAGCGAGAGGGGCUAUAUAUAGAAUGAGACAAGGGUUGGAGAGUUAUUAGUACGGAAUGGGGAAUGGAGCAUUAUAAUAUAGUAGAAUAUACCAUCUAAGGUAAGAUAUGGUGCAUUCUACAACAAGUGGAGUGCCAAAAUAUUACUUAAUGAUUUGUUAGAUAUACAUGUUCCUCAUUAAUGUUAGCUUUUAUAUAAAG